UUUGGAGGGCAAGUCUGGUGCCAGCAGCCGCGGUAAUUCCAGCUCCAAUAGCGUAUAUUAAAGUUGUUGCAGUUAAAAAGCUCGUAGUUGAAUUUCGGGGUCAGUAGGUUGGUCGUGCCACAGGUAUGAACUGGCCUCACUGAUUCCUCCUUCCUGAUGAACCGUAAUGCCAUUAAUUUGGUGUUGCGGGGAGACUGGACUGUUACUUUGAAAAAAUUAGAGUGUUUAAAGCAGGCUAACGCUUGAAUACAUUAGCAUGGAAUAAUGAAAUAGGACGUUCGGUCUUAUUUUGUUGGUUUCUAAGAUUGACGUAAUGAUUAAUAGGGAUAGUUGGGGGCAUUAGUAUUCAAUUGUCAGAGGUGAAAUUCUUGGAUUUAUUGAAGACUAACUACUGCGAAAGCAUUUGCCAAGGAUGUUUUCAUUAAUCAAGAACGAAAGUUAGGGGAUCGAAGACGAUCAGAUACCGUCGUAGUCUUAACCAUAAACUAUGCCGACUAGGGAUCGGAUGAUGUUAAUUUUUUAAUGACUCAUUCGGCGCCUUACGGGAAACA
rnacentral:rRNA from 1 species